rnacentral:rRNA from 1 species
UACUGGGCGUAAAGCGCACGCAGGCGGUCUGUCAAGUCGGAUGUGAAAUCCCCGGGCUCAACCUGGGAACUGCAUUCGAAACUGGCAGGCUAGAGUCUUGUAGAGGGGGGUAGAAUUCCAGGUGUAGCGGUGAAAUGCGUAGAGAUCUGGAGGAAUACCGGUGGCGAAGGCGGCCCCCUGGACAAAGACUGACGCUCAGGUGCGAAAGCGUGGGGAGCAAACAGGAUUAGAUACCCUGGUAGUCCACGCCGUAAACGAUGUCGAUUUGGAGGUUGUGCCCUUGAGGCGUGGCUUCCGGAGCUAACGCGUUAAAUCGACCGCCUGGGGAGUACGGCCGCAAGGUUAAAACUCAAAUGAAUUGACGGGGGCCCGCACAAGCGGUGGAGCAUGUGGUUUAAUUCGAUGCAACGCGAAGAACCUUACCUGGUCUUGACAUCCACAGAACUUUCCAGAGAUGGAUUGGUGCCUUCGGGAACUGUGAGACAGGUGCUGCAUGGCUGUCGUCAGCUCGUGUUGUGAAAUGUUGGGUUAAGUCCCGCAACGAGCGCAACCCUUAUCCUUUGUUGCCAGCGGUUAGGCCGGGAACUCAAAGGAGACUGCCAGUGAUAAACUGGAGGAAGGUGGGGAUGACGUCAAGUCAUCAUGGCCCUUACGACCAGGGCUACACACGUGCUACAAUGGCAUAUACAAAGAGAAGCGACCUCGCGAGAGCAAGCGGACCUCAUAAAGUAUGUCGUAGUCCGGAUUGGAGUCUGCAACUCGACUCCAUGAAGUCGGAAUCGCUAGUAAUCGUAGAUCAGAAUGCUACGGUGAAUACGUUCCCGGGCCUUGUACACACCGCCCGUCACACCAUGGGAGUGGGUUGCAAAAGAAGUAGGUAGCUUAACCUUCGGGAGGGCGCUUACCACUUUGUGAUUCAUGACUGGGGUGAAGUCGUAACAAGGUAACCGUAGGGGAACCUGCGGUUG